CCUACGGGUGGCAGCAGUGAGGAAUAUUGGUCAAUGGGCGAGAGCCUGAACCAGCGAAGUCGCGUGAGGGAGUACUGCCCUAUGGGUGGUAAACCUCUUUUGUCGGGGAGCAAAAGCCGGACGUGUCCGACUGUGAGAGUACCCGAAGAAAAAGCAUCGGCAAAGUCAGUGCCAGCGGCCGCGGUAAUACGGAGGAUGCGAGCGUUAUCCGGAUUUAUUGGGUUUAAGGGGUGCGCAGGCGGAUUUUUAAGUCAGCGGUAAAAUCGUGGGGCUCAACCCCAUCCAGCCGUUGAAACUGGGGAUCUAGAGUGUGCGAGAGGUAUGCGGAAUGCGUGGUGUAGCGGUGAAAUGCAUAGAUAUCACGCAGAACCGCGAUUGCGAAGGCAGCAUACCGGUGCACAACUGACGCUCAGGCACGAAAGCGUGGGUAUCGAACAGGAUUAGAUACCCUUGUAGUC
rnacentral:rRNA from 1 species